rnacentral:hammerhead_ribozyme from 1 species
AUCCAGUUGACCAGUCCCAAAUAGGACGAAAUGCGCGUUCUGGAU